AAUUGCAAAGUUAAAAACUCAUAAUCCACUCAAUUCAAUAAUAAUCCUAAAGAGUAGUAAAAAUUAUACAUGAAAAUGUUAAAAUGAAAUAUUAAUCAUCACAAAUCAAAGCUUGUGGAUCGUGGACACAGCGACCUUGAGGUGAAACCGGGAAGGGUGGUGCCAUAAUAGUUGAGGUGUUGAGGUGAGGCAGGUUUAAUAGCACACCGCAAGGAGGAUGGUGGUGUGCGACUAGGAAACUGAGAUCGAUAAACUAAGGGUGAAGGGAAACAAAAGGAAACUGAAAUUGAAGGGAAGAGCUAAAAACUAAUAAUCAAUAAAUCAAGGAAAACAACAUGAGAGAGGGAUGGAUAGAGACGAGAGGGAGGGAUGGAGGCAAGGUGAGAGUGGAGGCGUUGUCAUUUCUGUUGGCAAACAAGCAGUAGGCUGGAGAUUGGAGUGAGGUAACGAGCAGAAGACUUGAGGGUUUUUAUAUAUAGGCAGAUCUAAAUAAUGUAACAGAACCAAACGAAACCACCUAGUUCAGUUUUCCAGUAGAAACAGAGUUCAGCUAAUCAGUAGCAGCUAGUACUCCUAUAAUACUAAUAAUAAUAAUUAAAAAAAGGAAGCCAAAUCAACAUGGUUUGAUAACUAGGAAACAGUAAUCACCUAAACAUUAGGUAGGCAGCAGUUUGAUUCACCACCAAACUCCCAAAAAUUCACAUGAAACUGCCUUUUAAUUCAGAGGGCACGCAACAUCAAGAAAGAGAAAUAAGCAUCAACAAGAAGUGUA
rnacentral:misc_RNA from 1 species